CCUACGGGCGGCUGCAGUGGGGAAUAUUGCACAAUGGGCGCAAGCCUGAUGCAGCCAUGCCGCGUGUGUGAAGAAGGCCUUCGGGUUGUAAAGCACUUUCAGCGGGGAGGAAGGCGUUAAGGUUAAUAACCUUGUCGAUUGACGUUACCCGCAGAAGAAGCACCGGCUAACUCCGUGCCAGCAGCCGCGGUAAUACGGAGGGUGCAAGCGUUAAUCGGAAUUACUGGGCGUAAAGCGCACGCAGGCGGUCUGUCAAGUCGGAUGUGAAAUCCCCGGGCUCAACCUGGGAACUGCAUUCGAAACUGGCAGGCUAGAGCCUUGUAGAGGGGGGUAGAAUUCCAGGUGUAGCGGUGAAAUGCGUAGAGAUCUGGAGGAAUACCGGUGGCGAAGGCGGCCCCCUGGACAAAGACUGACGCUCAGGUGCGAAAGCGUGGGGAGCAAACAGGAUUAGAUACCCGUGUAGUC
rnacentral:rRNA from 1 species